AAAAAUGUUUUACUUAAUAAAGUGCGGAAAGUUGUACGUUUUUGAGAAAAAGAAAUGUAAAAUAAUAUCAAAAAACAUUUGUUUAACAAAAAUAAAUGGAGCUACUUUUGAAGCAGAAAUUAUUAAUUCCAGUGAAUCAAAAGAACUUCUCGAAGGCCUAUGCAAAAAGAUGAAUGAGGCGUUAUACAAGGCCAAGAGCAAAACCUCUGAUGGUGGCGUUAACAAAG